rnacentral:rRNA from 1 species
GAUGAACGCUAGCGGCAGGCCUAAUACAUGCGAGUCGAACGGGAUUAAGAGGCUUGCUUCUUAUGAGAGUGGCGCACGGGUGCGUAACACGUAUGCAACCUACCUUCAACAGGGGGAUAGCCUUCCGAAAGGGAGAUUAAUACCGCAUAAUAUAAUUGAACGGCAUCGUUUGAUUAUCAAACUUACAAGGGUUGAAGAUGGGCAUGCGUCCGAUUAGUUAGUUGGUGAGGUAACGGCUCACCAAGGCAUCAAUCGGUAGGGGAUCUGAGAGGAUGACCCCCCACACUGGUACUGAGACACGGACCAGACUCCUACGGGAGGCAGCAGUAAGGAAUAUUGGUCAAUGGACGCAAGUUUGAACCAGCCAUGCCGCGUGCAGGAAGACGGUCCUCUGGAUUGUAAACUGCUUUUGUUAGGGAAGAAACCCUCGGUUGCGAUCGAGGCUGACGGUACCUAAAGAAUAAGGAUCGGCUAACUCCGUGCCAGCAGCCGCGGUAAUAC